UAUUUUGAGAGUUUGAUCCUAGCUCAGGAUGAACGCUGGCGGCGUGGAUAAGGCAUGCAAGUCAUACGGACCAGUGCGUAGCACUGGAAUUUUGAAAGAUGAAUUUUGAAUUUCGAAUAAAAUUCGAAUGAUUUAAUGUUUUAAACAUUUGAAAAUUAAAAAUUUAUUCAAAAUUAAAAAUUUAAAAUUCGAAUUUCCACUGCUAUGCAGUGGUUAGUGGCGAACGAGUUAGUAAUACCCUGGUACAUACCACCGAGACGGGAAUAGCUUGCCGAAAGGUGAGGUAAUACCCGAUAGUCUCGCAAGAGUAAAGGAGUAAUCCGCUUGGUGAUUGGCCUAGGUCCGAUCAGCUAGUUGGUAAGAUAAUGGCUUACCAAGGCAAUGACCGGUAGGAGGGGUGAGAGCCCGAUCUCCAACGACGAAACUGAGACACGGUUCGUACACCUACGGGUGGCAGCAGUCGAGAAUAUUCCACAAUGGGCGAAAGCCUGAUGGAGCGACGCCGCGUGCAGGAAGAAGGCCUUCGGGUCGUAAACUGCUUUUUUAGAAGAGAAAGCCCCGCUUUUAGCGGGGUUGAUAUUACUCUAAGAAUAAGGGGUUCCUAACUCUGUGCCAGCAGGAGCGGUAAUACAGAGACCCCGAGCGUUAUCCGAAUUUAUUGGGCGUAAAGAGCGAGUAGGGGGCUUUUUAAGUCUAACGUUAAAUCCCGACGCCUAACGUCGGAACCGCGUUGGAUACUGAAUAGCUUGAGGACGUAAGAGGCAGAUGGAACAGCCGGUGUAGGGGUAAAAUCCGUUGAUAUCGGCUGGAACACCAAAGGCGAAGGCAUUCUGCUGGGACGUUCCUGACCCUGAGUCGCGAAAGCGUGGGCAGAAAAAAGGAUUAGAUACCCUUGUAUUCCACGCCGUAAACUAUGUCUACUAGCUGUUUCGAGUGUCGACCCUCGGAGUGGCGAAGCUAACGCGUUAAGUAGACCGCCUGGGAAGUACGGCCGCAAGGCUAAAACUUAAAGGAAUAGACGGGGACUCGCACAAGCGGUGGAGCAUGAGGUUUAAUUCGAUGGUAAACGAGGAACCUUACCAGGGCUUGAAAUGCAUACGAACCUCGAUGGAAACGUCGGGGGUCCGCAAGGACGUAUGCACAGGUGCUGCAUGGUUGAUUUGUAUCGACCCUUUUCAAAGUAAUUUGAAAAGCAAACCGGCUCAUAACGGUGAAACCCUAAUGCUUUUAUGUUAAAAUAAAAACAUGGGCAAUACCGUGGGAAGUGCGAAUUCUGAUUUUUGGAAUCUUAAAACAAAAGAUGACGCUUACAUCGUUGGUUUGUGGUGCGCCGAUGGAUACCAUCGGACAAGUAGUAUCGGUAUCAGCAAUACCGAUUCUGAUUUGAUAGAAAAAUUCCGGAAAUUUUUCCUGAAAUUUUUAUCAGCAGAAAGGCUAAAAUUAAGAAUCUAUCAUCCGGAUAAAUUUCUAAGACGCACCAAGGCAUACCAUUUGUAUGUAAAUAGCAGACCUUUAUUAAGGAAAUUCAGAGAAUUGAAAAACAAUGUGACAAAAUUCAUCAACGGAGAUUUAAUUCUGCCUUAUAUGGCUGGCAGAUUUGAUGGCGAUGGUUCUGUUGCAAAAGAUUUUUAUCGCGAUUGUCGUAUUGUUUACGGUAAUUUAGGAGAAGCACAAAAUGAUUUAGAGCUGAUGCUUUCAUUGGGUUUUCAGAAAAUGAAAAUCUACAAUUAUCGUACCGCUAAGACAUUUUGCUUGUAUUUUUCCCGACUAGAAACAAAUAAAUUUCUUUCUCUGAUUUAUCCUCAUUCAAUAAGAUUGCAAAAAUCAGUAUUCGCACCCCGUAGAGACUUGAUUACUACUGUAGUGUAGUGAUUAGAGUCCCGACAUUACGUCGGGAUUAAAACGCCGGUACCCUUAAUGGGUAAUGGUAUAGUCCAUACCAUUAGUAAUAAUGGAGCAAUAUGGUCGUCAGCUCGUGAUUUGAAUUGUUCCCUUAAGUGGGGUAACGAGCGCAACCCUUAUCUCGUGUUAUAUGUGUCACGAGAGACCGCCCCGCCCUUUUGGCAGUAUAGAAUUUUAGUGCCAAAAGGGCGGGGAGGAAGGUGAGGAUGACGUCAAAUCCGCAUGGCCCUCUGAUGCCCUGGGCCACACUCAUGCUACAAUGGCCGGUACAAUGGGUUGCUAAAGCGCAAGUUGGAGCUAAUCCCAUCAAAGCCGGCCCCAGUUCGGAUUGAGGGCUGAAACCCGCCCUCAUGAAGCCGGAAUCGCUAGUAAUCGCGCAUCAGCUAUGGCGCGGUGAAUACGUUCUCGAGUCCUGUACUCACAAUAAACGCGCCCGGCAGAUUAAAGAAUUAAAAGGUUAAAAUCCUUU
rfam:Parcubacteria group bacterium CG2_30_44_18 cg2_3.0_scaffold_45615_c, whole genome shotgun sequence.